rnacentral:rRNA from 1 species
UAGGGAAUCUUCGGCAAUGGACGAAAGUCUGACCGAGCAACGCCGCGUGAGUGAAGAAGGUUUUCGGAUCGUAAAACUCUGUUGUUAGAGAAGAACAAGGACGUUAGUAACUGAACGUCCCCUGACGGUAUCUAACCAGAAACCCACCGCUAACUACCUGCCAGCAGCCGCGGUAAUACGUAGGUGGCAAGCGUUGUCCGGAUUUAUUGGGCGUAAAGCGAGCGCAGGCGGUUUCUUAGGUCUCAUGUGAAAGCCCCCGGCUCAACCGGGGAGGGUCAUUGGAAGCUGGGAGACUUGAGUGCAGAAGAGGAGAGUGGAAUUGCAAGUGUAGCGGUGAAAUGCGUAGAUAUAUGGAGGAACACCAGUGGCGAAGGCGGCUCUCUGGUCUGUAACUGACGCUGAGGCUCGAAAGCGUGGGGAGCAAACAGG